UGAGGAAUAUUGGUCAAUGGGCGAGAGCCUGAACCAGCCAAGUAGCGUGCAGGAUGACGGCCCGAUGGGUUGUAAACUGCUUUUAUGUGGGGAUAAAGUGCGUGACGUGGCAUGCAUAGCAGGUACCACAUGAAUAAGGACCGGCUAAGUUCGUGCCAGCAGCCGCGGUAAUACGGAAGGUCCGGGCGUUAUCCGGAUUUAUUGGGUUUAAAGGGAGCGUAGGCUGUCUAUUAAGCGUGUUGUGAAAUUUACCGGCUCAACCGGUGGCUUGCAGCGCGAACUGGUCGACUUGAGUAUGCAGGAAGUAGGCGGAAUUCAUGGUGUAGCGGUGAAAUGCUUAGAUAUCAUGACGAACUCCGAUUGCGCAGGCAGCUUACUGUAGCAUAACUGACGCUGAUGCUCGAAAGUGCGGGUAUCAAACAGG
rnacentral:rRNA from 1 species